AGAUGGCAGACACACUGCGGAUGCUAACGUCCGUAGUGAAGAGGGAAACAACCCUGACCUACAGCUAAGGCCCCUAAUUCAUGGCUAAGUGGGAAAGCAGGCGGGACGACCAAAACAACCAGGAGGAUGGCUUAGAAGCAGCCAUCCUUUAAAGAUAGCGUAACAGCUCACUGGUCUAAAUAAGUUGUCCUGCGGCGAAGAAAAAAGGGA
rnacentral:rRNA from 1 species